AAUCAACGCUGGCGGCGUGCCUCAGACAUGCAAGUCGAACGCGAAAGUCCCUUCGGGGACAAGUAGAGUGGCGCACGGGUGAGUAACACGUACGGUAAUCCACCUUCGGAUGGGGAAUAACAACCGGAAACGGUUGCUAAUACCGCAUAAUGCAGCGGCACCUAAUGGUUGACGAGUUGUUAAAGCGGGGGAUCGAAAGACCUCGCGUCUGAAGAGGAGCCUGCGGCGGAUUAGCAGUUGGUAAGGUAACGGCUUACCAAGGCGACGAU
rnacentral:rRNA from 1 species